GCAUGUUUAUGUAAUAAGGACGAACAGCUCAGUAGAACUACGAUUAUUUAGUCUGUCUGAUAAUGAUAACUACGUGAAAAUGUAGCUAAGAGAGGACAGAAUAAGACGUAGGACUAUCAGUUAGUUGGUAGUGUAAUGGACUACCAAGACGAUAACGGGUAACGGGGAAUCAGGGUUUGAUACCGGAGAGGGAGCCUGAGAGAUAGCUCCCACGUCCAUGGACGGCAGCAGGCGCGAAAAUUGCCCACUCUUUGUAGGAGGCAGUUAUGAGACGUGAAAGUGAUUAUUCAGCAAAGAUGAAUAGGAGAAUUGGAGGGCAAGUUUGGUGCCAGCAUCCGCGGUAUA
rnacentral:rRNA from 1 species